AGUCUCGGAGCUCAGCUGGUAGAGCUUGCGCUGUACAAAAGCGUGGACGGCGUCCAAGCGUGGGUUCAAAUCCCAUCGAGGAUA
rnacentral:tRNA from 1 species